rnacentral:ncRNA from 1 species
UAGUCGGGGAGCCAUUAGGCUGAGAUCUACUGCUAAGAGGAUGCAAUCCUCUUAAGUCACAUGAACCCGUUGAACCUGAUUCAGUUAAUACUGACGUAGGGAACUAAU